rnacentral:rRNA from 1 species
AGAGUUUGAUCCUGGCUCAGGAUGAACGCUGGCGGCGUGCUUAACACAUGCAAGUCGAGCGAAGCACUUAUCAUUGACUCUUCGGAAGAUUUGAUAUUUGACUGAGCGGCGGACGGGUGAGUAACGCGUGGGUAACCUGCCUCAUACAGGGGAAUAACAGUUAGAAAUGGCUGCUAAUGCCGCAUAAGCGCACAGGACCGCAUGGUCUGGUGUGAAAAACUGAGGUGGU